UACGGAGGGGACUAGCGUUGUUCGGAAUUACUGGGCGUAAAGCGCACGUAGGCGGAUUUGUAAGUCAGGGGUGAAAUCCCGGGGCUCAACCUCGGAACUGCCUUUGAUACUGAGGAUCUUGAGUUCGGGAGAGGUGAGUGGAACUGCGAGUGUAGAGGUGAAAUUCGUAGAUAUUCGCAAGAACACCAGUGGCGAAGGCGGCUCACUGGCCCGAUACUGACGCUGAGGCACGAAAGCGUGGAGAGCAAACAGG
rnacentral:rRNA from 1 species